GAUGUUCCUGGAAGAAAAUCAUGAAGGAGCAGCAAAGUUACAAGUACACGUACAUUCUCCAGAUUUAAACGUGUACAUUAUGACAUCAUAUAGUUUACUCCAUCCACUUAUAUGUCAUUAAUCUACACAUACAUUCUCCAGAUUUGAACAUGCACAUUACAACACCAUAAAUUUUACUCCAUAUGCACUUACAGGUCCUAAGUUCAUUGUAAAAAAAGGCCGUUGGAGUCCAACCAUGUGUGCAAGUUUGUAGCAAGUGUUUCACUGAUUUUGUGGAAUAGGUCAAUGAUCGUGGUCGUGGAGGACAUGCUGGAGGAGGUGGUGCCUCAAGUGGUCGAGAAGGUCGACCACCUGAUCUCAUCAAGCAUGACAAUGGCAUCAUGGACAUGCACCGUCAGGGGAAAGAGGCAGUGGCAGGCUGGCAAAUCAGACCAUGGAAUACUUCCUUCCCGCAAUCCUAAUGGACCUGCAAAAACCACAAGAACGCAAUUUGAGACAUGAAAGAGAUCAACUAAGGAUAGCUAGCCGCAAACAAUUUGUGCACAUAAUUAGAGAUAUGUAGGGCGGUCAUUAUUUGUGUGUAGGGGUCUAGUCCUCACCUCUGCCAAGAAAAUUAGACAAGAGAAACUAAAAAUGGACGAGGGGGGAGAAUAUUAGAGUUGAAGGAACACAUGAUCUGGAUUAUCUUAUACCAGUGACUGAAGAAGCAGAAGGGACAAGCAGAUUACUGUUGCUGCUCCCAUUUUUUUCUGAAAGCACGAAAUAAAUGGAACACCGUCCGUUCAUGCAGAAUGGACGAAACCCAAUGGGCAGGAACCCAAUCCUUAUAAGUUCACCGAAAAGAGUUACAAUGUUAAUCAAAUGCUACUUAGAAGCGAUAACAAACUCUUCAAUUGCUAUCAUGAUGCAUAACAAGUUGAAAUAGAUAACAUGUCUUUAUAUUUGCAAAGGCAUGAUAAGGAUGUAGGUAGAUAGCCAACAUGACGUUUAUGUCACAAACUUUGCUUCACAUGCAUGAAACCAACAAUGUAUCUGAACAACAAUUCAAACAUGUCUAAUAACAUGGGGAAGAGUUAAAAGUAGUGGAGGGGAUUAUCUUGUAAACUGGGAUUCUGAUGUACCAAAAAGUAGUGUAGCCUAUGAACCAGCAUCUUGUUUGCUGUAUCCUUCAAAGGAUUUUCCAUUCAUAUCAAUCGCUAUACAUGGCAUCCAGAAAAAUUCAGAUAGUCCUCUGGCAUACGCAAGAAUCUGCACCGAGUGACUUUCACCUGAAUUCCAUUGCCCCCACUGCAAAAGUAGAAAUAUCAUGAAUUCUUAACAGGCACAACUGAAAACUUUGCAUUACAUGUAAAGCGAAUCGACUAACAAAUAGAAGGACCAAGAACAAUGAUACUGUCAGACACUGCUAACAUCAAGAAAAUUAGAGGUAGUACAUGUCACAUUUCUAUGUCUAUUUCCUGAUAUUAAAAAUAUUAUUACUCCAAUAGAUUAAUUUCAAGAUCACAUCAUAAUUUCAACUGCAUAUUUUUUCUCUAACAUGAAAAUCUGAUAAGAACAGAGAUUAACCUGAAGCCAAUUGAAGAUUUACCAAAACUGAAGCUAAAUCUGUUCAUAUGAACCAAGCACCCAACUUGUCUAAUAAUACGAGCACGUAUUCCUUUAUGUAUCAACCAAGUUCCCAACUUGUUGAUUAAAAAGGAGCCUCUGUGUACUAAAUAACAUAGAACACAAGGACACUAACAGUGUAACAUUCAUCAUAAUCCAACCAAUCACCAUUGGCUGCCCCUCUUUGCACCCUAAUUGAUAUUUAUCAUGUAUAACUUUUGGUUUAAUCAUUUGUAUUUUCCUAUUAUAGUCUUUCAUUUCCUAUUUAUUUCCUAAAUUUCUCUCUCAUUGACUCUUUGCUCCUCUUCUCCUCAAGUGUUGAUCGCACUUGCUGCUAGACCUAGUUUGACCCAAAGGAGACAAACAUGAUGUUUGUUUACGCUGUCCUCCCACCCAAUCGAAGGAACGGACCUUGUGUACGCCGAUGGAG
rnacentral:lncRNA from 1 species